UACAGAGGGUGCGAGCGUUAAUCGGAAUUACUGGGCGUAAAGCGUGCGUAGACGGUUAUGUAAGUCGGGUGUGAAAGCCCCGGGCUCAACCUGGGAAUUGCAUUCGAGACUGCAUAGCUAGGGUGCGGAAGAGGGGAGCGGAAUUUCCGGUGUAGCGGUGAAAUGCGUAGAUAUCGGAAGGAACACCAGUGGCGAAAGCGGCUUCCUGGUCCAGCACCGACGUUCAGGCACGAAAGCGUGGGGAGCAAACAGG
rnacentral:rRNA from 1 species